UAAGCGGAGCGUGCUGGGUUUUGAAAACUGCUAUGGAGGCUGCUGAGCUUCUCCGACGUUGCGGGGACUCCAUGGAGAGGCGGCUUGCCAGUGCCCCAGGCUGUUGAGCUCUCGCCGCCUGUGUCCCCACGGCGCGGCCGCAGGGUCAUGCUGGCUUCUCGCGUGGCUCGCGGCUCAUGGGGGGCCCUUCGCAGCGCCGCAUGGGCGCCGGGGGCGCGGCCGGGCAAGGGGCGCGCCCGUGGGUCCCUGCUACGCUCCGUGCCCGGCUGCCUAGGCUGCCUGGUGGAGCGUUGGUGGCUGCGCCCGGCCGCGCUCGGUCUGAGGUUGCCUGGGACCGGCCCUCGAGGCCACUGCUCGGGCGCAGGGAAGGCGGCCCCCGGGCCCGCGGCUGGAGGGGGUGCCGCCGCCGAGGCCCGGGCCGGCCGCUGGGGCCCGGCGAGCGCCGCCAGCCUGUAUGAAAACCCAUGGACAAUCCCAAAUAUGUUGUCAAUGACGAGAAUUGGCUUGGCCCCAGUUUUGGGCUAUUUGAUUAUUGAAGAGGAUUUUAAUAUUGCACUAGGAGUAUUUGCUCUAGCUGGGCUAACUGAUUUGUUGGAUGGAUUUAUUGCUCGAAACUGGGCCAAUCAAAAAUCAGCUUUGGGAAGUGCUCUUGAUCCACUUGCUGAUAAAAUACUUAUCAGUAUCUUAUAUGUUAGCUUGACCUAUGCAGAUCUUAUUCCAGUUCCACUUACUUAUAUGAUAAUUUCAAGAGAUGUAAUGUUGAUUGCUGCUGUUUUUUAUGUCAGAUAUCGAACUCUUCCAACACCGCGAACACUUUCUAAGUAUUUCAAUCCUUGCUAUGCCACUGCUAGGUUAAAACCAACUUUCAUCAGCAAGGUAAACACAGCAGUCCAGUUAAUCUUGGUGGCAGCUUCUUUGGCAGCUCCAGUUUUCAAUUACGCUGACAGCAUUUAUCUUCAGAUACUGUGGUGUUUUACAGCAUUCACCACAGCUGCAUCUGCUUACAGUUACUAUCAUUAUGGUCGAAAAACUGUUCAGGUGAUAAAGGGCAGAUGAAAGUCAUCCAGCAUCAUUAGCAAGGAAGCAAUAUGCGUCAUUGGUGGCAGAGCCGGUGGAGACCCACAGGACUUUCCAUAUUUGGGUGUUCAGCUUGAAAAAGGACUUGUCAGAACAAACCAUGUCGUCAGAAUUUAAACUAGCAGCUGAGUUGCCCGUGGCCUGAAGUAUACUGAAGCCUGCAGCCAGGGACACGGUCACUGAAUCAGAUGGACGGUGGUGUGAGGAAGAGAAGGAUGGCCUGUGGCUGGCCAUUUUCUCCUUCUGGAACCUCCUGUGUAUAGUCUCAUAGCUUGGGAGGUGGUGAAGCUGGAGGUGGAAUCCACACCCAGGAGCACGUUGAACACGCCGUGGCACUAGCAAAGUGCAAGCACACAAACGUUUUAAAAUGGGAUAACUUGAGAUAAAGUAAUUGUGGGAAAAAUUACAA